rnacentral:lncRNA from 1 species
UCAUAUCUGCUCUUUCUACUAUGUAUGUUUUGCUUGCCAAGCCACAAAUAACUAUUCUUCAAUGCUACUGAUAUACCUACUAUUUAUGCUCAGAUGUUUCUUAUGACAAUGUGAUAAAAAACUACUCUAUGUGACUUAAAUAUUAAUGUUUGCCUUUAUUUCCUUUUUUUAAAAAAUAAUUGUAAUGGACUUAUAGUCAAAAGACGAGUAUAGACGAAAAGGAAAAAAUUGAUCAAUGCAUUCACUCAAUUGACAUAAUAAAUAAUAGACGCAAGUAGCUUGGAAUAAAGAAGGGUGAAAUUAGGGGUUGAUCUACCUUUUCAGCCCGAGUUAAGAGAAAGGAAUGGUCUCACUCAAGAGGAAUGCGCCUUUAUUAAACAAAGAAGCUGAGCAAUUGACAUUGAAUAAGAGUGAGUGAUCAAAUUGUACUAUAUUAGGAGAGGGCUUUCCUCUUAUCUCUCAAAUUGUAUGGUUUUUGCGUAAUUAAAACUCACAUGGAUCUUGACCAUUUUGUUAAUAUUUUUCUACCUCUAUAGUGAUUACUGCAUCUAAACCAGCUCUCCCUUGCCUUUGUGCUCUAUUAUGUUAGAAAAAAUUCUUAAUUCUUGACUCUUGCAGUAAGGGAAGCUGAAUAUUUUCAUUGAAAUAUGCAAAUGAGGAUAGCAAUGACAUGACAUACUGCCUUGAGCACUAGCUGAACUCAUCGCUAUUGUUACCAUAAAGACUUGACUUUCUCCUCACUGUACAACACAAAAACUCUGCAACCAUCCAGGAAUGGGAAUAUCCAACUUUUCUAUUGAGGCUUUAAGCGCGCAACUACCCCAUUAAAUUUUCUAUUGUUUGUUGAAGAGGAGGAAAAUAUCAUUCAAGAUUAAAUUUCUGCGGCAAAAGUGAAGUGCCAAUUUCAGUCAACCGUUACUGCCAAUGUUCUUGCUAUUGUAAGUUGAUAGUUUCUACCUUUGUUGGAGUGAUGAAACAACAAGAUAUAUUUCAGCUUCCUGUACAAACUUUUCAUGGAACCUAGACUGUAGUUAUAAACUUUUUUGGGUUGAAUGUAGCUACGUUAAUUGAGCUCUUUUAAAGAUGGCAAUAAG